UCGACAUGGCGCGCGGGUAAUACCAAAGUCCCUCUCUUAUCUUAUGCUCUCUUGUGUCAACUGCAUAAGCACGAAAACAGUUCAUAGAAAAGAAAAACACUGCAUACAACAAAAUCUUGCUGUUUUCGACUCGAUUUCAAACUAGUUAUAUAGUAGAAGCAGUUCAUCAAGCCUUAAUAAUCAGUAUAGCGCCUUAGCAAAUCCCCCUUACCACCCCCUCUAAAAAGGAAGUUAUAUAUAAGCGCCAAGAGGCGCAUUCUAAAACAAACAUAUGCUAUGACAAAAUCCACACUAACCGUGAGAGCUGACAAUAGAUGCUCCAUUCAGGACGUAAACAAACACACACAACCCGGUGAGGGUCUGAACCUUUCUGCUGAACAUCCUACGAAAAGCAGUUAGACAAAAAGAUUGUUACAGGAAGAGCAAGUUGGAGUUCUUAGGAUACAUAUUCUCUGGCCAAAGACUCUCCCCUGACCCCAAGAUGGUAGAGGAAGUGGUCAAUCUCCAGAAGCCGACUUCUAGAGAUCUGAAGUACGCAGUCUUCUUGGCAUGACCAACUACUGCUCUAGGUUUAUUCCCGACUAUGCGACGAAGACAGAACCUCUGCGCAAGUUGACGCACUGGAAUUAGGAUACUUUGUCUGCGAUUUUAUUUAAAAAUAAACAAAAAUGAAUCCCCAAUUUAUGUUAAAUAUUGAACUCAUCGAAUAAAAUAUUUCUAACCUUA